rnacentral:rRNA from 1 species
GCAAGUCGAGGGGCAGCAUUUCCAGCUUGCUGGAAGAUGGCGACCGGCGCACGGGUGAGUAACGCGUAUGCAACCUACCUUACAUUGGGGGAUAGCCCAGAGAAAUCUGGAUUAAUACCGCAUAAUAUAUUUGAAUCGCAUGGUAAGAUAUUUAAAACUCCGGUGGUAUAAGAUGGGCAUGCGUAGCAUUAGUUAGUUGGUGAGGUAAUGGCUCACCAAGACAAUGAUGCUUAGGGGGUCUGAGAGGAUAGUC